GAUGUGGAAAUCAGAGACCUCCCCUGGCAAGACUUUCUCUGGCCUCAUCCCUUGGGUCUUACAUUUAUUGGGAGAGUCAGAUCCACAAAGCUGGGCAUCCCAUCACGUUGGCGGGUGCGGGAGGGGCUGGCAUCAAGGACACCUUCCUGGAUGAGGAACUAAUUCAAGCCAACUGUGAGGACAGGCAAGUCCUGAAUGGAGUGGGAAGGAAGGAGGGUUCCCGAGUGAGCACAGACCCCAGACCAGAUCCUCACUCCGCACAAGUCCCUGGCAGCGUUCCCCACCCAAGCCCUGUCUGCAUCCUGUCCUUCCUCCCAGAAAUUCAAAGUCAUCCAUAGGAUCCAGCUGCUCCAGCAGGCUGCAAAUCAGUAUGACCUGGAGCCCGAUGAGCGAUUUGGGGCCUGGUUCCAGGCCAUGGAGCCCAUCAGUGUCCAUGAGAGCUACUGGGUCUCCUGCCGGCUGGAGCCCGCACACCAGAAGGCGAGCAAAAUGCGGCUCUUCAGGAGAAAGAGGAACCGGACAUCCUCCAGUUUAGGGCCGACCACCGUGCCCUUGGCGAUGAGCCAUAACCCUCUGGAGACCACAAGUUCAGCUCCUCCUGAGCAGCAGGGCCACUGGGACCCUCGGG